AUUGAACGCUGGCGGCAGGCCUAACACAUGCAAGUCGAGCGAGCGGCGGACGGGUGAGUAAUGCCUAGGAAUCUGCCUGGUAGUGGGGGAUAACGUAGGGAAACUUACGCUAAUACCGCAUACGAUUGAAUGAGCCGAUGUCGGAUUAGCUUGUAGGUGAGGUAACGGCUCACCUAGGCGACGAUCCCUAGCUGGUCUGAGAGGAUGACCAGCCACACUGGAACUGAGACACGGGCCAGACGCCUACGGGAGGCAGCAGGGGGGAAGAUUGCACAAUGGGCGCAAGCCUGAUGCAGCCAUGCCGCAUGUAUGAAGAAGGCCUUCGGGUUGUAAAGUACUUUCAGCGGGGAGGCGUUACCCGCAGAAGAAGCACCGGCUAACUCCGUGCCAGCAGCCGCGGUAAUUC
rnacentral:rRNA from 1 species